GAGUUUGAUCCUGGCUCAGGACGAACGCUGGCGGCGUGCUUAACACAUGCAAGUCGAACGAGGCAGCGGGCCAACGGGUCCGUUGUCGAGUGGCUAACGGUUGAGUAACACGUGAGAAACCUGCCCGGGAGACCGGUACAACCAGGGGAAACCCUGGCUAAUACCGGAUGCCCUCGGAUGGUCGCAUGGCCGACCGAGGAAACGCUCUGGUGCUCCGGGAGGGUCUCGCGGCCUAUCAGCUUGUUGGUUGGGGUAACGGCCCACCAAGGCAUUGACGGGUAGCUGGUCUGAGAGGACGAUCAGCCACCCUGGGACUGAGACACGGCCCAGACUCCUACGGGAGGCAGCAGUGGGGAAUAUUGCGCAAUGGGCGAAAGCCUGACGCAGCAACGCCGCGUGGGGGAUGACGGCCUUCGGGUUGUAAACCCCUUUCAGCAGGGACGAAAAUGACGGUACCUGCAGAAGAAGCCCCGGCCAACUACGUGCCAGCAGCCGCGGUAACACGUAGGGGGCAAGCGUUGUCCGGAUUUAUUGGGCGUAAAGAGCUCGUAGGCGGUUGCGUAAGUCGGAUGUUAAAACUCAGGGCUCAACCCGGAGACGCCAUCCGAAACUGCGCUGACUAGAGUCCGGUAGGGGAGCAUGGAAUUCCUGGUGUAGCGGUGAAAUGCGCAGAUAUCAGGAGGAACACCAGUGGCGAAGGCGGUGCUCUGGGCCGGUACUGACGCUGAGGAGCGAAAGCGUGGGUAGCGAACAGGAUUAGAUACCCUGGUAGUC
rnacentral:rRNA from 1 species